GAACGGGUGAGUAACACGUGGGCAAUCUGCCCUUCACUCUGGGACAAGCCCUGGAAACGGGGUCUAAUACCGGAUAUCACUCUCGCAGGCAUCUGUGAGGGUCGAAAGCUCCGGCGGUGAAGGAUGAGCCCGCGGCCUAUCAGCUUGUUGGUGAGGUAAUGGCUCACCAAGGCGACGACGGGUAGCCGGCCUGAGAGGGCGACCGGCCACACUGGGACUGAGACACGGCCCAGACUCCUACGGGAGGCAGCAGUGGGGAAUAUUGCACAAUGGGCGAAAGCCUGAUGCAGCGACGCCGCGUGAGGGAUGACGGCCUUCGGGUUGUAAACCUCUUUCAGCAGGGAAGAAGCGAAAGUGACGGUACCUGCAGAAGAAGCGCCGGCUAACUACGUGCCAGCAGCCGCGGUAAUACGUAGGGCGCAAGCGUUGUCCGGAAUUAUUGGGCGUAAAGAGCUCGUAGGCGGCUUGUCACGUCGGGUGUGAAAGCCCGGGGCUUAACCCCGGGUCUGCAUUCGAUACGGGCUAGCUAGAGUGUGGUAGGGGAGAUCGGAAUUCCUGGUGUAGCGGUGAAAUGCGCAGAUAUCAGGAGGAACACCGGUGGCGAAGGCGGAUCUCUGGGCCAUUACUGACGCUGAGGAGCGAAA
rnacentral:rRNA from 1 species